AAACUGGAGAGAGGCCCAACAAUGGAAAGUCCUGAGGAAUGAAGCUGUGGACCCAAUCUUUAUCUGAGGCCUGCCAUCCUCUUCAGCUUUCCUCAUGGCUUCUCUUGAAUCCAGAGAGAUUUACAUCAAGAAGAUUUGUGCGCCACCAACGUGAGCAACUGGUUGUCAGCGGCACAUUCAAGAGUUUUUGACAGAAAAUGGAGACGAGGGCUCGGCCUUGAACUCUGAACCGAGAUUGGGCUCUAAGAAAGCUUCUUCAACAGCGGUGAUGAGUGGGCAGGUGGGAAACAAGCAGAUCAAAGUGAGGAAUUAAUCACAGGAGAAAUAAGAGAAAUGAGUUGUGGGAAAUGGACUGUAAGACAGGAAAAGGGAUGGGAUCCAGGGAGCAGGUGGUAUCUCGGUGUGACAGCAGGACAUCAGACACUUCGCUUUCUGUAUGGGGCUGAAGUGCAGAGAAUGGGGUUUUGUUGUGAGUCUUGGCAUGGAUGAGGGAAGUAGAUGUCCAAAACCUGUUUGUGAUGGAAUGAACUUUGUUUCUGAAGGACAAGGCAAAAUUUUUAGCAGUGAGGAUGGAGAAAAGAGAAGAAGGGGAGAGGAGGGAAGUAAAAGUGAUGGAAAGUUUGCUCGGACUGCUGGUCCAGGAUGAUCAGGCCUUUGGUGAGAGCCAGAAGGUUGAGUGAGAAGUGGGUGGCUGACUGGAAGUUGUGGCGACCCAUGGAAAAAUGAAAAUAGACAACAUACCAGAUUACUGUUGCAGCAAAUUUUGAGAUUACUCUUGACUGAUGAUACUUAUACAUGUACUGUGUACAAAGGGGUAUUGUUUCAAUCUAAGUGCCUCGAUGGAGGAAACUUCAGUACCGCUGACUUUAACGUCAAGUCAGUGCUUGUCAGUUUCUGGUGAGCUUCAUGGGUUUUUGUGAAGUGACAGCCUGGACCACUUCCCUACCUGCUGUCCAAUUUUGUCUAAACAUUCUGACAUAAGUUUCUGAUUUGUGGUAACAGACUACAGGAUUAAGACUAAUAAAUAUGCAUCUCACUGGAUCAGAAUUGGCCACCUCCAGCAAAAUAUCAGUUUGUUCCAGAUGGUGACAGUGGCCUAGUUUUCCGUUACAGUCCUUAAGACUUGCUAAAACAGAUGUGGGAGUGCAAACAGAUCCAGGCAAAAAAAGAAGUCACUUUGGCACAUUAAUGGGUCAGUUGAUGCCCAGGGGCUAUUGUUCCAUCUUCAUUUUUUGCAUACUUUGUGUUGAUGCGCUAAUGCUUGUUCUUUUAUAUUGAAAAUAUAUCAUACACAUAGUUUGCUAAUAAUUCUGUGCAUCUUUUGGUAAAUUCAUAAUCAAAACCACACUUGUAAUUUUUGAUCGUUUUCACUGACUAGAAUUUAAAAAGUCAUCCCUCAAAUCUGUGGAAUAAUUCAGUCAUUGUGUGAUGCAGGGCCCUAAAGCGUGACAUCUUUAAUGUGGAUGCAAAGCUCAGGACCUUGGCCAAAUUAAGGAACAAGGAGGAAUCCCAGGCGAACACAGGCAGAACAUGGAAAGUCUGCACAGAAUGAGCAGGGAUCAAACCCCAGAUCUGAUCCACAAGCCCAGAUGCUGUGGGACGCCUAGCACUACCUGCUAUGCCACUGUCACUCCCUUUUCACUGCAUUGACAACACAUGAAUUUACAUAUCAACUUAUUAAUACUGUCAUACAGUUACAGCUGUCAGACUGCUGACGAACUCUUUUCUGCUGCCUCUCAUGGUUUAUAUCUGACAUGUCAGCAACUAUCAAACAUAUUGGGUCAACUCUGUUACUCUGACUUGUCAGUUUUUUUGCCCUAUUCUUGGUACUCCGUGAACUGUGCCACAAGUUAUUGCGUUCUGUGAGUGCGAUUUACCAAGUUGUAUGACUUUUUGCUGAACUUUCCAGAUCCUGGAGGAAUCAUAGGAAUUCACAGUGUGACAGGAUCCAUGAGCUGUUAUUAAUGACAUCAGCAUCUAUCUUUUAUUAAAUAGGUUUAACUUAUAAAGAACGAUCAGUCAAGGAAAAAACCGAAGAGUAGCAGUCUUGACUCGUGUUGACAACUGUUGUUGCAUGUAGCCGAAGAGUACGGUCACACAACGAUACGGGACAAAGAGCGCACAAGCCAAUGGAAUCAUGCUACAAUUGUAUUUCACUUAUCAUACGCAGGUCUAGCCGUUUACCAUGCGGCAGAUCAAUACUUUUUUGUGUUUUGAGUUUUUUUUUUGUUGAAAAAUAGCAGACAGACACAACAGUGGCUUGCUGUUGUGAAGAACAGUCUUGCAGUGUCACGUGCCUCACAAUGCUAUGACAUAUAAAUGCAGUGUGUAAUA